AACGAACGCUGGCGGCAUGCCUAACACAUGCAAGUCGAACGAGCCCUUCGGGUCUAGUGGCGCACGGGUGCGUAACGCGUGGGAACCUUCCCUUAUGUUCGGAAUAACUCCCCGAAAGGGGUGCUAAUACCGGAUAAUGUCUUCGGCCCAAUGAUUUAUUGCCUUUGGAUGUGCCCGCGUUGGAUUAGCUAGUUCUUAGGGUAAUAGCCUACCAAGGCGACGAUCCAUAGAUGGUCUGAGAGGAUGAUCAGCGACACUGGGACUGAGACACGGCCCAGACUCCUACGGGAGGGAGCAGUGGGGAAUAUUGGACAAUGGGCGAAAGCCUGAUCGAGCAAUGCCGCGUGAAUGAUGAAGGCAGUAGGGUUGUAAAGCGCUUUUACCCGGGAUGAUAAUGACAGUACCGGGAGAAUAAGCUCCGGCUAACUCCGUG
rnacentral:rRNA from 1 species